rnacentral:lncRNA from 1 species
GUGCUCAUUUUUAUAAAUUAUAUAUGAAUUAUUAUUAAUAAAAGUUAUUUGAUUUUUUUAUCAUAUUUUAUCUAUUUUACUUGAACUUCUGUGUUGUGAUGAAGUCCUUAGGACUAUAUUUAAUCGAUAAAGGAGGAUUUAUCGUUUAAUCCUUAAAACAUAUUCGCGAUCAAAUGGUAUGCUAUUAAUAGGAUGAUAGUGAUAUCGAGUAUAAAUCGUUGUGUGCCAUAUGGAUUGGUUGUCCUCUUAAUCAAGGAGUAUGGAGACACUGGUAUGGUAUGCAGGUGGAAUGUAGGAGUACAUUCACACCAAACAUGAUCAAUUACGGAGUGCUCUACUGUCAAGAGUUGCUCACGAAGGGUAUGGGUAUAAGUAUCUUUUCGAUCUGAGAUCAUCAUGGUGACUUAUAAGCAACUCAUUGUACUUUGAUGUUAGACCAUCUAAAUUUUUAAUUCAGUGAUAGAAGGUUUCUAGGUACAGUCAAGUACUUAUCAAGAUGGUGCGUGAGUCAAGAUGGGAUUGAUCCUUCUGAAUAAGUAGGAGUUAAUGUAUCAGUGUAUUUCAAUUUAGUAAAAUCUUGAUCAGGAUAAUCCAUAUGAUGGAUUUGAAAGGCUGAAAUACAAUAUGGUCGACUAUUUUAAGGUUGAUAGUUAAACCCUAUGUCAUCUUGAGCAUUGGGAUCAAAGAGAUAAAUUAUACGGUAACCAUACACCAGUAGGUUCUAGAAUAUUGCUUUACAAUCUUUCGACCUAUCCAGACGUCAGGUCCCAUUAUUAGAUGGUUACAUCGAUUAGUAUAAAAAUUUAUUCCUAUGCUACUGGCUUAAGUUCAAACCUAUGGAGUCACAUAUAUAAGAAGAUUCAAUAUGAUCAGAUGGCUGAAAAGUCCCAUUGAAUUGGGACUCUAGUGAAGAGUCCCACUGGAUUGGGACUUUGGAGGAGAGUCCCACUAGAUUGGGACUCUGCUAUUAAUAGAUGAUUUAUUAGCAAUUAGAUUGCUAAUUGACUCAAUUUGAUUAAACAAAGAGA